rnacentral:rRNA from 1 species
UGUGUGUUAGUGGAAGCGUCUGGAAAGGCGCGCGAUACAGGGUGACAGCCCCGUACACAAAAAUGCACAUGCUGUGAGCUCGAUGAGUAGGGCGGGACACGUGGUAUCCUGUCUGAAUAUGGGGGGACCAUCCUCCAAGGCUAAAUACUCCUGACUGACCGAUAGUGAACCAGUACCGUGAGGGAAAGGCGAAAAGAACCCCGGCGAGGGGAGUGAAAAAGAACCUGAAACCGUGUACGUACAAGCAGUGGGAGCACAGAGCAAUCUGUGUGACUGCGUACCUUUUGUAUAAUGGGUCAGCGACUUAUAUUCUGUAGCAAGGUUAACCGAAUAGGGGAGCCGAAGGGAAACCGAGUCUUAACUGGGCGUUAAGUUGCAGGGUAUAGACCCGAAACCCGGUGAUCUAGCCAUGGGCAGGUUGAAGGUUGGGUAACACUAACUGGAGGACCGAACCGACUAAUGUUGAAAAAUUAGCGGAUGACUUGUGGCUGGGGGUGAAAGGCCAAUCAAACCGGGAGAUAGCUGGUUCUCCCCGAAAGCUAUUUAGGUAGCGCCUCGUGAAUUCAUCUCCGGGGGUAGAGCACUGUUUCGGCAAGGGGGUCAUCCCGACUUACCAACCCGAUGCAAACUGCGAAUACCGGAGAAUGUUAUCACGGGAGACACACGGCGGGUGCUAACGUCCGUCGUGAAGAGGGAAACAACCCAGACCGCCAGCUAAGGUCCCAAAGUCAUGGUUAAGUGGGAAACGAUGUGGGAAGGCCCAGACAGCCAGGAUGUUGGCUUAGAAGCAGCCAUCAUUUAAAGAAAGCGUAAUAGCUCACUGGUCGAGUCGGCCUGCGCGGAAGAUGUAACGGGGCUAAACCAUGCACCGAAGCUGCGGCAGCGACGCUGAUGCGUUGUUGGGUAGGGGAGCGUUCUGUAAGCCUGUGAAGGUGUGCUGUGAGGCAUGCUGGAGGUAUCAGAAGUGCGAAUGCUGACAUAAGUAACGAUAAAGCGGGUGAAAAGCCCGCUCGCCGGAAGACCAAGGGUUCCUGUCCAACGUUAAUCGGGGCAGGGUGAGUCGACCCCUAAGGCGAGGCCGAAAGGCGUAGUCGAUGGGAAACAGGUUAAUAUUCCUGUACUUGGUGUUACUGCGAAGGGGGGACGGAGAAGGCUAUG